AGAGUUUGAUCCUGGCUCAGGAUGAACGCUGGCGGCGUGCCUAAUACAUGCAAGUCGAGCGAACGGACGAGAAGCUUGCUUCUCUGAUGUUAGCGGCGGACGGGUGAGUAACACGUGGAUAACCUACCUAUAAGACUGGGAUAACUUCGGGAAACCGGAGCUAAUACCGGAUAAUAUUUUGAACCGCAUGGUUCAAAAGUGAAAGACGGUCUUGCUGUCACUUAUAGAUGGAUCCGCGCUGCAUUAGCUAGUUGGUAAGGUAACGGCUUACCAAGGCAACGAUGCAUAGCCGACCUGAGAGGGUGAUCGGCCACACUGGAACUGAGACACGGUCCAGACUCCUACGGGAGGCAGCAGUAGGGAAUCUUCCGCAAUGGGCGAAAGCCUGACGGAGCAACGCCGCGUGAGUGAUGAAGGUCUUCGGAUCGUAAAACUCUGUUAUUAGGGAAGAACAUAUGUGUAAGUAACUGUGCACAUCUUGACGGUACCUAAUCAGAAAGCCACGGCUAACUACGUGCCAGCAGCCGCGGUAAUACGUAGGUGGCAAGCGUUAUCCGGAAUUAUUGGGCGUAAAGCGCGCGUAGGCGGUUUUUUAAGUCUGAUGUGAAAGCCCACGGCUCAACCGUGGAGGGUCAUUGGAAACUGGAAAACUUGAGUGCAGAAGAGGAAAGUGGAAUUCCAUGUGUAGCGGUGAAAUGCGCAGAGAUAUGGAGGAACACCAGUGGCGAAGGCGACUUUCUGGUCUGUAACUGACGCUGAUGUGCGAAAGCGUGGGGAUCAAACAGGAUUAGAUACCCUGGUAGUCCACGCCGUAAACGAUGAGUGCUAAGUGUUAGGGGGUUUCCGCCCCUUAGUGCUGCAGCUAACGCAUUAAGCACUCCGCCUGGGGAGUACGACCGCAAGGUUGAAACUCAAAGGAAUUGACGGGGACCCGCACAAGCGGUGGAGCAUGUGGUUUAAUUCGAAGCAACGCGAAGAACCUUACCAAAUCUUGACAUCCUUUGACAACUCUAGAGAUAGAGCUUUCCCCUUCGGGGGACAAAGGGACAGGUGGUGCAUGGUUGUCGUCAGCUCGUGUCGUGAGAUGUUGGGUUAAGUCCCGCAACGAGCGCAACCCUUAAGCUUAGUUGCCAUCAUUAA
rnacentral:rRNA from 3 species